UUAUCUCUGCUCGAACCCUCGUCUCCACGGGUGCGGAAGGCUGAUCUCGAGGAAGACGAGGCUCAGCCUCCUGUAGAUGAGCGCUGCCCUGGAAGAGCAUGCCGGUCGUGGCGAUGGAUCAAGAUGUGGUCAUCGCCACCAUGGAUGGAAGAGGAGGAAGAUUUGGUGUUCCAUGGCGGCUAGAGGAGGAGGAUGUGCUUCUCCAGCCAGAUCCGUGGCCACCACGUAGCCAUCCACGUCCACCCUCCUUGACCGACAAAUCGAUCGACCGGACGUGGCACAGGGUAUCGACCACAGGGGCCGGCGAAGGGAAUCAAGAUGUGUUUAGCUUGCAAGUUUCAAAAUUCUGCAAUAUAUCAUACUCCCUCCGUUCCUAAAUAUAAGUCUUUUAAGAUAUUUCACUAGAAGUCUACAUACGGAGCAAAAUGA